rnacentral:rRNA from 1 species
AACGAACGCUGGCGGCAUGCCUAACACAUGCAAGUCGAACGAGACCUUCGGGUCUAGUGGCGCACGGGUGCGUAACGCGUGGGAACCUGCCCUUAGGUUCGGAAUAACUCCCCGAAAGGGGUGCUAAUACCGGAUAAUGUCUUCGGACCAAAGAUUUAUCGCCUUUGGAUGGGCCCGCGUUGGAUUAGCUAGUUGGUAGGGUAAAAGCCUACCAAGGCGACGAUCCAUAGCUGGUCUGAGAGGAUGAUCAGCCACACUGGGCUGAGACACGGCCCAAACUCCUACGGGAGGCAGCAGUGGGGAAUAUUGGACAAUGGGCGAAAGCCUGAUCCAGCAAUGCCGCGUGAGUGAUGAAGGCCUUAGGGUUGUAAAGCUCUUUUACCCGGGAUGAUAAUGACAGUACCGGGAGAAUAAGCUCCGGCUAACUCCGUG